rnacentral:rRNA from 1 species
UACAGAGGGGGCAAGCGUUGUUCGGAAUUACUGGGCGUAAAGGGCGCGUAGGCGGCCUGCUAAGUCGGACGUGAAAUCCCUGGGCUCAACCCAGGAACUGCGUCCGAUACUGGUUGGCUUGAAUCCGGGAGAGGGAUGUGGAAUUCCAGGUGUAGCGGUGAAAUGCGUAGAUAUCUGGAGGAACACCGGUGGCGAAGGCGACAUCCUGGACCGGCAUUGACGCUGAGGCGCGAAAGCCAGGGGAGCAAACGGG